CACGUAGGGAGCAAGCGUUGUCCGGAUUUAUUGGGCGUAAAGAGCUCGUAGGCGGCUCAGUAAGUCAGGUGUGAAACCUCCAGGCUCAACCUGGAGACGCCACCUGAUACUGCUGUGGCUAGAGUCCGGUAGGGGAGCGUGGAAUUCCUGGUGUAGCGGUGAAAUGCGUAGAGAUCAGGAAGAACACCGGUGGCGAAGGCGCUCUGCUAGGCCGCAACUGACACUGAGGGACGAAAGCUAGGGGAGCGAAUGGG
rnacentral:rRNA from 1 species